GUCGAACAGACCUAGAACUUUAAGCUUCUGCACUUAAAUCUAAUUUUAAUCCAACAUCGAGGUCGCAAACUUUUCCAUCGAUAAGAACUCUCCAGAAAAAUUACGCUGUUAUCCCUAAGGUAAUUUAAUCUAAAUAUCCAUAAAAUAGGAUCCUAAAAAUAAAAAUAAUUAAAUAUUAAAUUAUGAGAGUUUUUUUAAUCUCAAUAUCACCCCAAUAAAAUUAUAAACCAAAUAAAUAAUAAAAAUAACCAUAAAUUAAAUAUAAAAUUUAUAAUAAAAUUCUAUAGGGUCUUCUCGUCCCACUUAAAAAUUUAAGCUUUUUAACUUAAAAAUUAAAUUCAACUUUUUAAUAUAAAGAAAGUAAUUCCCUCAUCCAACCAUUCAUACAAGCCUUUAAUUAAAAGACAAAUGAUUAUGCUACCUUCGCACAGUCAAGAUACUG
rnacentral:rRNA from 1 species